UUCAGAGAGGACGUCUUCAGGUGCCACCCGGCUGUGACCUUGACAGUGACACACGGUGCAAUCGAAAAAAUCAAUCCACAGCUCCACCAUGUGGGCAUGGUCGCGUUCUGCAAGAGGGAGCACACAAUGGUUGUGAUUCAUCAGACCGCUGAGGCCACACAACUCCUCAGAGUACAGUCUGUGACGUUUGUUCGCGUCCCAGACCCACGGCGACACACCGAUCACACCUCAGUGGAUGGGAGGGAAGAAGGAAAGAAGGAUGGAGAAAGAGGUGCCAAAAAAAGGAAGAGAGACAUAGAAGGUCACAGUAGUUGUAGCUGUGCCACCACGGAGCUGUAUUUGUUUUGGCGUAACUUCUGCCUCCGUCGUGGAAGAGAUGAUGGUUCAUCGAGGCCUCUCCUGCCGUACUGUCUGGACGCAGCUCAACUCAGCACUGUUUGCAGGAAGCGGAGAUGAGUGAUGCCAGUGGGGUUUGGCACA